AUAACUUCGGGAAACUGAAGCUAAUACCGGAUAUGACCACGCCAUUUGCGAAUGAAGUGGUGAAAGGUGGCUAGCUUGCUAGUUAUCACUUAGGGAUGAGUCCACGUCCCAUCAGGUUGUUGGUGAGGUAAAUGCUCACCAAGCCUAAGACGGGUAGCCGACCUUAGCGGGUGAACGGCCACACGGGGACUGAGACACGGCCCCGACUCCUACGGGAGGCAGCAGUGGGGAAUAUUGGGCAAUGGGCGAAAGCCUGACCCAGCGAUACCGCGUGAGGGAUGAAGGCUUUCGAGUUGUAAACCUCUGUCAAGAGGGAAGAUGGGUCUGUAAGCUAAUACCUUACAGACUUGACGGUACCUCUGAAGGAAGCCCCGGCUAACUCCGUGCCAGCAGCCGCGGUAAUACGGAGGGGGCAAGCGCUGCUCGGAAUUACUGGGCGUAAAGGGUCCGCAGGCGGUUUUGUAAGUUAGAUGUGAAAGCUCAGGGCUUAACCCUGAAAUUGCAUCUAAAACUGCUUAACUUGAGUCCAGGAGGUUGGCGGAAUUCCCGGUGUAGCGGUGAAAUGCG
rnacentral:rRNA from 1 species